rnacentral:rRNA from 1 species
CGGUGUUACUCUGUCUGAAUGAUAGGUGCACUUUCCUUUAAGCCGGACCACGACCAGCGAGUUGUCUUGUCUGGUAUUGGUGGAAGGUAGCGUUGACCUCGGUGAACGUGUUAUAGCCACUGAUUCGGAGCGAGCGGCGCGUUGGAUUACUCGAUGCCUGCCCUUUGGGCUCGUACGUUGUCUCUUAUCAGGGUGUCGCCGGCUUCACUGCUUCGGCAGGGGAGUUGGAGACGCUUUGGUUCGAGGCGGCCUCUGCGAUUGGCGUCUACAGUCAGUGGUUUCGAAGUAGGCAGUCCACCUGACCCGUCUUGAAACACGGACCAAGGAGUCUAACAUGUGCGCGAGUCAUUGGGCUCUACGAAACCUAAAGGCGCAGUGAAAGUGAAGAUCCAUUUGUUGGAUUGAGGUAGGAUCCUGGGUUACGUGCUCAGGCGCACUACCGGCCCGUCCGAUAUGUCUUCAUACGGGCGGAGCAAGAGCGUACACGUUGGGACCCGAAAGAUGGUGAACUAUGCUUGCGCAGGUCGAAGCCAGAGGAAACUCUGGUGGAGGACCGUAGCGAUUCUGACGUGCAAAUCGAUCGUCAAACGUGAGUAUAGGGGCGAAAGACUAAUCGAACCAUCUAGUAGCUGGUUCCCUCCGAAGUUUCCCUCAGGAUAGCUGGCACUCGGGAAAUGAAACAGUUUUAUCCGGUAAAGCGAAUGAUUAGAGGUAUUGGGACGAAACUGCUCUCAACCUAUUCUC